GUAUUUUGCAAGGUCCAGGAAUCUCCAGCAAACAGUCUUGCCGCCCUCGCAUGGCGGAGGUCACGAGUUCGAGUCUCGUCGGGUCCA
rnacentral:tRNA from 1 species